rnacentral:rRNA from 1 species
GCUAAUACCGCAUACACUCUGAGGAGGAAAGUAGGGGAUCGAAAGACCUUAUGCUUUUGGAGCGGCCGAUGUCUGAUUAGCUAGUUGGUAAGGUAAUGGCUUACCAAGGCAACGAUCAGUAGUUGGUCUGAGAGGACGACCAGCCACACUGGGACUGAGACACGGCCCAGACUCCUACGGGAGGCAGCAGUGGGGAAUUUUGGACAAUGGGCGCAAGCCUGAUCCAGCAAUGCCGCGUGAGUGAAGAAGGCCUUCGGGUUGUAAAGCUCUUUCAGUUGAGAAGAAAAGAUUGUGACUAAUAAUUGCAAUUCAUGACGGUAUCAACAGAAGAAGCACCGGCUAACUACGUGCCAGCAGCCGCGGUAAUACGUAGGGUGCGAGCGUUAAUCGGAAUUACUGGGCGUAAAGGGUGCGCAGGCGGUUCUGUAAGUCAGAUGUGAAAUCCCCGGGCUUAACCUGGGAACUGCGUUUGAAACUA